rnacentral:rRNA from 1 species
UACGUAGGGUGCGAGCGUUGUCCGGAAUUAUUGGGCGUAAAGAGCUUGUAGGCGGUCUGUCGCGUCUGCUGUGAAAAUCCGGGGCUCAACCCCGGACUUGCAGUGGGUACGGGCAGACUAGAGUGUGGUAGGGGAGACUGGAAUUCCUGGUGUAGCGGUGAAAUGCGCAGAUAUCGGGAGGAACACCAGUGGCGAAGGCGAUCACCUGGGGUUGUUCUGACGCUGAGGAGCGAAAGCUAGGGGAGCAAACGGG